rnacentral:rRNA from 1 species
GAUGAACGCUGGCGGCGUGCCUAAUACAUGCAAGUCGAGCGAACGGACGAGAAGCUUGCUUCUCUGAUGUUAGCGGCGGACGGGUGAGUAACACGUGGAUAACCUACCUAUAAGACUGGGAUAACUUCGGGAAACCGGAGCUAAUACCGGAUAAUAUUUUGAAACGCAUGGUUCAAAAGUGAAAGACGGUCUUGCUGUCACUUAUAGAUGGAUCCGCGCUGCAUUAGCUAGUUGGUAAGGUAACGGCUUACCAAGGCAACGAUGCAUAGCCGACCUGAGAGGGUGAUCGGCCACACUGGAACUGAGACACGGUCCAGACUCCUACGGGAGGCAGCAGUAGGGAAUCUUCCGCAAUGGGCGAAAGCCUGACGGAGCAACGCCGCGUGAGUGAUGAAGGUCUUCGGAUCGUAAAACUCUGUUAUUAGGGAAGAACAUAUGUGUAAGUAACUGUGCACAUCUUGACGUUACCUAAUCAGAAAGCCACGGCUAACUUCGUG